CGUCAAACUCCGUUCAGUUGGUG
rnacentral:miRNA from 1 species